rnacentral:rRNA from 1 species
AUUGAACGCUGGCGGCAUGCCUUACACAUGCAAGUCGAACGGCAGCACGGGAGCAAUCCUGGUGGCGAGUGGCGAACGGGUGAGUAAAGUAUCGGAACGUGCCCAGUCGUGGGGAUACCGUAGCGAAAGUUACGCUAAUACCGCAUACGAUCUAUGGAUGAAAGCGGGGGAUCGCAAGACCUCGCGCGAUUGGAGGGGCCGAUAUCAGAUGAGGUAGUUGGUGGGGUAAAGGCUCACCAAGCCGACGAUCUGUAGCUGGUCUGAGAGGACGACCAGCCACACUGGGACUGAGACACGGCCCAGACUCCUACGGGAGGCAGCAGUGGGGAAUUUUGGACAAUGGGCGAAAGCCUGAUCCAGCCAUGCCGCGUGCAGGAUGAAGGCCUUCGGGUUGUAAACUGCUUUUGUACGGAACGAAAAGGUUUGGCCUAAUAAGCUGAGCUCAUGACGGUACCGUAAGAAUAAGCACCGGCUAACUACGUGCCAGCCGCCGCCGUAA